rnacentral:misc_RNA from 1 species
GCAAACUUGGUCAUUUAGAGGAAGUAAAAGUCGUAACAAGGUUUCCGUAGGUGAACCUGCGGAAGGAUCAUUACCGAGUGUAGGGUGUCGCCUCGGCGCGCCCGACCUCCCAACCCUUUGUCUACCUUACCACAACGUUGCUUCGGCAGGCCCGCCGACCCCUGGAGAUCCGUCUCCGGGGCGAGGCCGCCGGGGGCGCACGCCCCGGGCCCGCGCCUGUCGAUGGCCCUUCUCAAACUCAUGUUUAAUCGUGUCGUCUGAGUUAUCAUUAAAAUAAAAACCAAAACUUUCAACAACGGAUCUCUUGGUUCUGGCAUCGAUGAAGAACGCAGC